rnacentral:rRNA from 1 species
AGCCCCUCGAGUGGUGGGGGUGAUUAUUUGGCCUAAAGCGUCCGUAGCCAGCCAUGUAAGUCUCCCGUUAAAUCCAGCGUCUCAAGCGUUGGACUGCGGGAGAUACUGCACGGCUAGAGGGUGGGAGAGGUCAGCGGUAUUCUGGGGGUAGGGGCGAAAUCCUUUGAUCCCCGGAGGACCACCAGUGGCGAAGGCUGCUGACUAGAACACGCCUGACGGUCAGGGACGAAAGCUGGGGUAGCGAACCGGAUUAGAUACCCGAGUAGUCC